rnacentral:misc_RNA from 1 species
CUUUAUUUUUAUAUACUAUUUUGCAUGUAUUUUUUGUAGGUUUUUGUUUCAUUCAAAGUUAAUACUCCACAAUGAAUAAUAUGAAUAAAGUAAAUAUGGCUUUGCUACAUGUAUGUGAACAAAUUUAAGACAUUCCAUUUCUACAGAUAAUACGAGUAUCCAGUGCUUUUUGUAACAUUGCUUCACAUAAUUCACUAACAAAUAUAUGUAUACUCAAUUGUAUGUUCUACAUUUUAUUUACUUUUUUGGUUACCUUGUUUUUAAUUGGAGCUUGGUAUUAACAUAAUUGUAUCCGAAAUUUGUCAACAAAGAUGUGAAUUGCAUGCCAUUGUGUUUGACCAAAAUUGAUGAUUCUGAUUUAUGAACAAUGAUUUUAAAUGAUAAGAGACAGCUAUAGAGGAAGCUUGUGUUGUACACAUGUAUUAUGUCGUGUGAUGGUCACACAGAUCUGUUGUAACAUGUAUUUGUUAUGUACAGUAUAGAAUUAUUGGGAGAAUAAAUCAUUACAUUC